AACGAACGCUGGCGGCAUGCCUAACACAUGCAAGUCGAACGAGACCUUCGGGUCUAGUGGCGCACGGGUGCGUAACGCGUGGGAACCUGCCCUUAGGUUCGGAAUAACUCCCCGAAAGGGGUGCUAAUACCGGAUAAUGUCUUCGGACCAAAGAUUUAUCGCCUUUGGAUGGGCCCGCGUUGGAUUAGCUAGUUGGUAGGGUAAAAGCCUACCAAGGCGACGAUCCAUAGCUGGUCUGAGAGGAUGAUCAGCCACACUGGGACUGAGACACGGCCCAGACUCCUACGGGAGGCAGCAGUGGGGAAUAUUGGACAAUGGGCGAAAGCCUGAUCCAGCAAUGCCGCGUGAGUGAUGAAGGCCUGAGGGUUGUAAAGCUCUUUUACCCGGGAUGAUAAUGACAGUACCGGGAGAAUAAGCGCCGGCUAACUCCG
rnacentral:rRNA from 1 species